rnacentral:rRNA from 1 species
GACGAACGCUGGCGGCGUGCUUAACACAUGCAAGUCGAACGAAGUGGCGAACGGUUGAGUAAUACGGGAUUAACCUGACCUCCUUUUUGGGAUAAGCCUUGGAAACGGAGUCUAAUACCGGAUAAAGGGGGAUGGGCUCGCGGCCUAUCAGCUUGUUGGUGGGGUGAUGGCCUACCAAGGCUGUGACUGUUAGCCGGCCUGAGAGGGUGAACGGCCACAUUGGGACUGCGAUACUGCCCACAAGACUACGGGGGGCAGCAGUGGGGGAUAUUGAAACAUGGGCGACAGCCUGAUGCAGCGACGCCGAGUGGGGGAUGAAGACUUUCGGGUUGUAAAGCUCUUUCGCUAUAGAACGGGUAGGUGGAGAAGGAGCGCCGGCUAACUACGUGCCAGCAGCCGCGGUAAUUC